rnacentral:lncRNA from 1 species
UUUGGUGUUUCGUUGUUUUUUUUCUCCCUUUUGGCCAUCCGAGUGUGUGUGCGCUCAUGCUUUCUCCAUGACCUACCGUGCAUUUGGGAGAGAGAGGGGUGAAGAUGGGAGACAUCUCAGAGGCGUCUUCCUUUCACUAAUUCGGAAGCACUUUCCUUCAACCAAACGAAAAAGAGAAAGAGGAAGUAUCAUUAAAAGAAAACUGAAGCAGAGAGUCCGAGGCCUUAACAAAGUGAUGAAAACCGCCCAGGACCACUACAGCAGUAGCAACGACAUCAUCAAGAUCAGCUCGGAGAGCAGCACCGAUUCUGAGCCGGGUUUGGAGAGCGAUUUCAAUUCCUCUCCGGAGUCCCUCGUGGAAAUGGAAGACUUGGCCAGCAGAUACAAACCCUUCAAUGGCGC